rnacentral:lncRNA from 1 species
UUAUUCACUCUAAACCAAUUACUUUAACACAAUUAAUACCUCGCCCCUCUUCUUUGUGAAGUUAUCUAGAUUUCAAGGAAAGCUCCAGCAAGAGCCCGUAAGCAACAGGGGACUUGGCUAUCAGUAAUUCCAAACUUAAAUUUUGGAUGCAUACAUGAGGUGAUCAUGGGUAUAUAAGUAGAACCAAUUUCUAAACAAGUAAUAGAAAUGUCUCUGCACUUUUGUAUAUAACAUAAUUCAUGUGUCAUUGCAAAGAGAAAAAUGUCGUAAACUCAAAUCCUUCAGAAUAAUGCAUGAGAAAUUACCUUCCACUCUACUGGUACAUUUAAUAACUUUUUAUAGUUAAUUAAAUAACACUCAAUAUCUUUACAUUAUCAAUAUUUAGUCCUGUGGUUCUUUUGAGAUUGACCAUGACUCCAUUUUCUUUCAUGCUCCAACCCACAGUGUCAAUGCGACGAGUAGCGCCGGCCUCACUAAACUCAAACAUCAAACAUAAAGUCAAUACAACUCCAAUCAUUCACCUUAAAACCAGACAGAUCCAAGCUAGAAUUCAAACUCAAAUAUUCAAAUUUAAACACUUUACAAAGCAAUUAAAUGAAGAAGAUCUAGUAGUCAAUCCCAAUAAUUCCAAAAAUUCGCCUAUUAGGCUGAAAUAUAGGUUCGAAAGUAACAAUACCUGGAUAGUAGCGAAACAGGCAAAGUAGAAUCAAACAAAGGUGAAGAAGAAACUAGAAAGCUCAGCUACGCGGACUCAGCAGAACAUCAACGAUAGUUCCAGCGACCAAACAAAACUUCUUCAAUCUAAAUGUCACUCAAAAUUCCAAAAAGAAACUAAAGCAAAAGAGCAGAAAUUCGAAUAGCCUUCAAAUCCUUUAUUUUCUGUUUUUUUCAUUCAUUUUUCUUUUGAAUCUGUCCAUUUCUCUUGUAUGUGUUUCUUUUUUUUUAAUUAGAUGGAAAGAAGAUGAUGAAGGUGGGGGAGAGGAGUAACGACGCUGAUUAAUUUUUGGAGGGACUCUCUUUCGCCAUUUGUUCGCUCCUGGAAAAGGAAAGAAUUAAGGUGCUCUAGGUUGGCCAAAAUGGGGGUUCUGUUAUCUGGUGUUGAUGGUGAGAUCAAGAACCAGAUCGAGGGGGGAGUCUCCUUAGUCUCUGAGGUUAUCAGCUGAUUCUUAGGUGCCCUCCUUAUUAGAUUUUUUU